ACUCGUUCAUGUGGAGUUCGUGCUGCUCUGGAGCUUCUGCGGCUGGUGGGCUAGGGUUGGGGGUGGGGACGGGGAUGGUGGAGUAGUGAUUCGUUGGAGUGGAACCGUCAGCAGGAUGGGUCGGGCAAGAGUUGGAGCAGAAGAGCGGCGGCUGCACCUGCUCCACCUCACACCAAAGCAGUGUAUCUUAGUUUUCCUGUGGGACGCCAAGUACGCUUCCGAAUGACAGAUUGAGCGGCAGCAGGUGGUGCGGCGGUCAUAGUUGCCGCUUCUAGACUUGAGAGCUGGGUCUGGAUCCCACCUCCUGCUGCAGUAGCCUUG